rnacentral:lncRNA from 1 species
CUUAUAAAAGGACCAGUUCAGCUCCCUCUUGCACUCACUCUCUCUCUGUUUCUCACUCUUUCUUUGCCCUUCCACUAUGGGACGACACAGCAAGUAGGCCCUUGCCAGAACCUGGAGCCCUCCAGAACGGAAGAAGAAAGUACUGUUCAAAUCAGGGACUUGACUCCCACAAGACUCCCACAAGAGCCCGGAGUCUUAAGUGGACAAUGAGCCGUUUAAAACCAUGCACAGGCCAGUCGCGGUGGCUUAGCCCGUAAUCCCAGCACUCUGGGAGGCCAAGGAGGGCAGGUCACUUGAGGUCAGAAGUUCGAGACCAGCCUGGCCAGCAUGGUGAAACCCCAUUUCUAGUAAAAAUACAAAAAUUAGCCGGAUGUAGUGGUACGCAUUUGUAAUCCCAGCUACUUGGGAGGCUAAGGCAGGAGAAUCG